rnacentral:rRNA from 1 species
UACGUAGGGUGCGAGCGUUUAAUCGGAAUUACUGGGCGUAAAGCGUGCGCAGGCGGUUUUGUAAGCCAGAUGUGAAAGCCCCGGGCUUAACCUGGGAAUGGCAUUUGGGACUGCAAGCUUGAGUGCGGCAGAGGAGACUGGAAUUCCUGGUGUAGCAGUGAAAUGCGUAGAUAUCGUGAGGAAGACAGUGCGAAGGCGGAUCUCGGACAGUUCCUGGACGCUGGAGGCGCGAAGGCCAGGG